rnacentral:rRNA from 1 species
UGGGGAAUAUUGGACAAUGGGCGCAAGCCUGAUCCAGCCAUGCCGCGUGAGUGAUGAAGGCCUUAGGGUUGUAAAGCUCUUUCACCCACGACGAUAAUGACGGUAGUGGGAGAAGAAGCCCCGGCUAACUUCGUGCCAGCAGCCGCGGUAAUACGUAGGUGGCAAGCGUUGUCCGGAUUUAUUGGGUUUAAAGGGUGCGUAGGCGGCCUAUUAAGUCAGUUCUGAAAUAUCCCGGCUUAACCGGGAGGGUGGGAUUGAUACUGAUGGGCUUGAGUGGAAUCGAGGUAGGCGGAAUUGACGGUGUAGCGGUGAAAUGCUUAGAUAUCGUCAAGAACACCGAUAGUGUAGACAGCUUACUAGACUUCAACUGACGCUGAGGCACGAAAGUGUGGGGAUCAAA